ACAAAAAAAAAAAAAAAACGAUCUUCCUCUCCAAGCAACCAAGCCAACGCCACCACCCUCUCUUCUUCUCCUCUCUUCUCAUUUUCAAGAAACCAAGCUCCUCUUGUCUCCUUCAAGCUUUGUGACUCCAUAGCAAAAGAAGAAAACAUCUUCCUCCAUCUCCAAGCCGUGUGUAUCUCAUCUCUACCUAUUUUCGGUUUUGACUCAAAACUUGGGACCAAAGCUUGAUUUCAUCUUCUAAAGGGUGAAAUCUUGAAGGGUUUAACACAGAGCUAUCAUUUCAUUCUACAUGGCUAUACCACUAUAUGGUCCUCUAUCUUGCCUCUUGAAAGGAGCUAAGAGCUUAAGGACCUAUAUUGACAUUGAAAGUAUCGAGGAGCAUAGAGGUAAUGACGAAGAGGCUGGGAGCAAGGCAUUACUGCAGAGGGAGAGGCAGACACAUAGUAUCUUCCCUGUUGGUUUGACCUUGCACAGAUGAUGGGUUCUGUUUAUGGAUGUUGUUUUUAUGUUGAGAUGGAGUCUCUUCCUAACUAAAACAGUUAUGUUUUUAUGAGCGUAUG